rnacentral:ncRNA from 2 species
UACGGAGGAUCCGAGCGUUAUCCGGAUUUAUUGGGUUUAAAGGGUGCGUAGGCGGCUUUUUAAGUCAGGGGUGAAAUACGGCAGCUCAACUGUCGCAGUGCCCUUGAUACUGAAGAGCUUGAAUGUGGCUGAAGAUGGCGGAAUGAGACAAGUAGCGGUGAAAUGCAUAGAUAUGUCUCAGAACUCCGAUUGCGAAGGCAGCUGUCUAAACCAUUAUUGACGCUGAUGCACGAAAGCGUGGGGAUCGAACAGG